GACAACGUGGCCGAGUGGUUAAGGCGUUUGACUCGAAUGUACUCGUAUCAUUUGAGCAUAUCAAAUUUCUUCGGAAGCACAGGUUCGAGUCCUGUCGUUGUCG